rnacentral:rRNA from 1 species
UACGUAGGGUGCGAGCGUUAAUCGGAAUACUGGGCGUAAAGCGUGCGCAGGCGGUUGUGCAAGACAGAUGUGAAAUCCCCGGGCUUAACCUGGGAACUGCAUUUGUGACUGCACGGCUAGAGUGUGUCAGAGGGGGGUAGAAUUCCACGUGUAGCAGUGAAAUGCGUAGAUAUGUGGAGGAAUACCGAUGGCGAAGGCAGCCCCCUGGGACUAACACUGACGCUCAGGCACGAAAGCGUGGGGAGCAACAGG